GUCGACUAUUCUCAGGUAUUGAUCACAAUUUUAACGAUGAAUUUGAAAGUGGUGCCAAUUUUCGUUGCCUUUAUCGUGGUGGCUUUUUCUACUGAAGCAUUAGCUCAAGAUUCAUGGACUGUUCCAUUUAAAGUUCCAAUGUGCGAUAACCUGAAUCUGCCACCAACAAGCAGAAAUUUAAUGUGUAUAAAAUUUUGCCAAGAUACGGGUGCAUAUCUAUCCGGAGCAUGUAAUGUGGCAUACCCUUACAAUUGCGUUUGCCAAACAAAGUAUAAAAAAUGUACCAUUACCAAUGUCGGCGGGAGCUGGACAUGUAUAUAAAAUUGAAACAUAUAUUUAGUGUUUUCAAUGAUAAAUCAGAAGGACACUCCAAUAAUGCACUUGAAAACACUUUGAGCUCAAACGAAUCCUAUGAAAUGUCAAUUUAAAAUUAAAUAAAGAUUCACUUUUUCACAAUGUAAA